rnacentral:lncRNA from 1 species
CUGGAGUCCCCAGGCUCUCCUUGUGGGUUCCCGGGGUAUCCAAACCCAGCCAGUGAAAAUAAGCAUCUGUAUGCAGCAGGGGCGUCAGAAAUGAGGAUACGUGGGAGGAACUGAGGUUCUAGUGCGGUGAGUCUGACUCAGCACCAGACCCGGGGUCAGGGAGGAGCAGUGGCUCGAGGCGCCACACGCAAUGGUGCCAAGAACCAUCCCCACCCCGGGGCCACCUUGGCAUGUAAGUGCCGCGUGCUACGUGCGGCCUUGCUGUGGGCGCCUGCAGGAGCUCGAGUCAGAGAGGGAGGGAGCAAUCUUCGGGGCGCCCACUGGCAGGUGGGGGCUGGGCAUAUUGAGAUCCGGGGCUUUCACGGAACCAUGGCCGCCCUUGGAUUCCAUCCGGAGAAACCAGGCUCCUGCGGGCUCAGGGGUCAGUUCGACUUUCCUCACCGCCCGACGCGAGUGGCGAGUUACUGCCAUGAGGCCGGGUGCAGAGAACAAUCGUCUGUAGCUCUUGCCUCCCAGAGCCCUGAACGGGAUGGCCGGCCACCCCCAGGGCUGGGCACCCCGAAGGCCCAGUCUUCACCUCUCCGACUCCCUGCGGCUUCGCGCCUCCGGGACAUGGCACCCUUGAUUCAUAAUUUUAGCUCAGCCACUGGCGGAGACCUUGAGAAAGGCGUGCCCCUGACCUUGAUCAGCCCAGGCCUGGCCACUUCUGCCCAAGGGACCAGGCUCCCCCUAACCCCCCCAAUGGCCCCCAGCACAGCGGGGAGGCCCUCACCCAGCUGCGCCCAGGGGACUUCUCAUGGGAUCUCCAGAGCCACCCAACGCCCUUCUGAAGGGCCUCAGCUGGGGAGGGAGGGAGGCCCAGCCCAGCAGGGUGAGGCAGGCCACCCUCCUGGGCUCAGUUUCUCACGCCGCAGCUCCCUGCAAUCCAGCUCCCGGUCUGGGUCGGGCUGUUGUCAAACAGUAACCAGAUCCCGAUGGACUCCUGCUUCGCACGCUCCAAAGGCUUGCCCUUGUCUGCACCAGCGAAUCUCAGCUCUUAACUCUGCAGGACGGGCCCUGGAAACUCCCCCAUGGGGCUUGGGGUACCCC